ensembl:piRNA 21ur-8520 ncRNA
UUGUUUGUAACAAUUGAAAGA